CAUAUGGAUUGACAAAUCCUAAGACAUAUAAAAAUAUCUUCACUUUUCAUAUGAGCAAACUAAUACUUAGCAAAUAUAAGUCAUUUAUCCAAGUUCGCACAGCUAACAAGCAGUAGAGCUGAAUUUGAAUUCAAUCAGUGUGCAUAUAUAGUCAAUAGUUAAAAAUGCAGUUAAGCUAUAAAAAUUGUCAAGAAAUAAAAUAAAGACAUGAAAAGGAACAGGAAACAAAUAAAAUCAAUUAUAGUUAUUGUUAAUACAGUUACUGUUAUUGAUCAUAGACUUUACCUAGGGGUUUCCUGUUGACAACAGAACUGAAAAGGAAAACAUGGUUGAUUCAGUAACAUCUCUUUUCUACUUUUGUAAAGUUAAAAGGGGGGCUGCAAAGAAUUGAAAAAUAGAGAUAUACAUGUCAUUGAAGUUAAAUAAUAAAAUAAUUUCUCUUCGGUGAUUUAAUGUCCACAAACGUGGUAUAUGUGCUGCAUCUACUCCAUUGCCUUCUCUGAACCCCUUUCUGGACUUCUCUCCUCCUUCGUUUUGCCUUAGAGCUGAACUUAAUGACCCACAUCAGUGUAUUUCCUUACCCUCUUCUCUUAGGUUUUUCCAGUGGAGGACAAGAGAUAACUUGAGGGCCAACUACAGAACAGUAAGGACAGACUCAGAGGCGUGGAAUCUGCAUCCUCUGAGGGUAACGACUAAAAGAGAUGUCAGUGACAAUAGAGGAGAUUCUACCACAGCUGUCUGAAAAAGAUGAAGAAACUGUUGAGUGGUUGAUAAUAUGGUUGAGAGCAGAGACUCAUUUUCAUUGUUUGAAGGAAAGCCAGCACCAUACAGUACCUGGCAG
rnacentral:lncRNA from 1 species